rnacentral:rRNA from 1 species
UACGAAGGUGGCAAGCGUUGUUCGGAUUUACUGGGCGUACAGGGAGCGUAGGCGGUUGGAUAAGCCCUCCGUGAAAUCUCCAGGCUUAACCUGGAAAGUGCAGAGGGGACUGUUCAGCUAGAGGAUGGGAGAGGAGCGCGGAAUUCCCGGUGUAGAGGUGAAAUUCGUAGAUAUCGGGAGGAAUACCAGUGGCGAAGGCGGCGACCUGGGCCAAUACUGACGCUGAGGUGCGAAAGCGUGGGGAGCAAACAGG